rnacentral:rRNA from 1 species
UACGUAGGCAGCGAGCGUUGUUCGGAGUUACUGGGCGUAAAGAGUGCGUAGGCGGUUUUCUAAGUUUGGUGUGAAAUCUCCCGGCUUAACUGGGAGGGUGCGCCGAAAACUGGAAGGCUUGAGUAUGGGAGAGGUAAGUGGAAUUCCUGGUGUAGCGGUGAAAUGCGUAGAUAUCAGGAGGAACACCUGCGGUGUAGACGGCUUACUGGACCAUAACUGACGCUGAGGCACGAAAGUGUGGGGAUCAAACAGG